rnacentral:lncRNA from 1 species
CACACACACACACACACACACACACACACACACACUCACACACACUCACACACACUCACACACAAGUGCAUGUUUCAUAAUUUGUACUUUGAAAUAUAAUUUAAAAUCCAUUCUCCAGGAAUGUGUGAUCAGCUCAUAAUGAAGCCCAUAUUGGAAUUCACCAUAAUUUCCCAGCACAUGAUUUAAUGGCUUUUCCAACUCUACAAUUAUGAAGACAUUGAAGUCCCAGAGCCACAGAAAAAUGAACAAUGGUGUCUGGGACAUCAUCUUGCUUCCCCUGCCUGCCUGAUUCAGCUCAGGUCUCAUGGCAAUGACUUUGUUUAUAAAAUGUGGCAGCUCAGCUGGUGCAGGGCCAAUGCAAAGCCCUCAGCAGAUAGGGAGGCACAUUGCCUGGAUGGUGGGUUCUGACCAGACACUAAAUCUGUAAACAGGCAGAUGAAUUAAUGAAGAGCUUCUAUUUUACCUCAAAUAUAACUCAGAGUGGAUUCGUUACUCAAAAAAAAAUAAGCUAAUGAAUAUUGACUAAUAAUGCUGGUAAAAUAAUAAGACCUGCUGCAAAAU